CUUAUAAGCAUUCUUUUUUUAGAGGGCAAAUUAUAAGUCAAAUUCCAUCAAGGAUUUUAAAUUGUCAAAAAAUUGUUUGGUCUUAAUAAAUGUUAGCUGUUUUUUAGCUGGGUUAGCCCAUGCCAUCAGGAGGUUUGAUAAUGUAGCAGUUCAAAGAGAUACUUUUACCUAAUGAAGUAUUUGCUCAAGAUAUUUUCUGCCAGCUAAUUUCUCCUUCCUCCCUGAAAAAAGUUUUUCUCUUGUCUUGAUUUUAAUUUUCAGAGCUAGCAAUCAGUACUACUGUAUUUUCAGGCCUGUCUAAUGGUAUUUAUGCACUUUUGUUUUCUAGGCCUGACCUUUGUCCUUUUUUUUUCCUGACUUUCCAAUCCCUCUUCCACCCAAUCUUUAAAAUUAGUUCUGAUCUCAUCAUUUCAGUGGAGCUCUCCCUGAAAUUCCAGUUUGAAGGGAUUUUUCCAGUCUCCGAUUCUCAUACUAAUUUUUAAUCCGAGUUUUGUUUAUGUAUGUAUACAGAGUAACUAGUUUAUGCUAGAGUAUUUUUUACUCUGCCGUUCGUUGGAUUUCCUUAUUUUAAAAAUGAUGGUACUGUUUGCAUCAUAGCAGGAUGUUGAAAUAAAUGAAGUAGUAAAUUGCAGUAACUUUAAAAAACUUUACUGAAUUUUACAAAAUUUCUACAAAUAAGUAUUAUUUUAUAUACUUAAAAAUAAGAAUGAGAAUAUGCGAAAAUGCUUUUGAAGAAAGGUACUAUCUAAUAUAGGUAUUGAGAUAAAAGUUGUUUGCUCUUUGAGGUACAUGCCUUAAUUUUAUUAAUAUAUGCUAUCAACUUAUUGAUUCAGUACUUUCAAAUUGUGAUAGAAAAUCUUAGCUGUCCCUAACUAGGAUUCUAGCCAACUAAAAAAUUCUAACUUUGCCUCCUAACUCUAGCAGUUCUUUGUUCGUUCUCUUUGACUUUGGCUUUGAGGAUUCCUCUAGAUAAUUAUGUUCUCUAGAUAAAAAUGUUCUUAGACUGUCCCAUGAAAUCCCUCUUCAGUGUCUCAGGGGUUGCUGUAGGAGGGCUUAGAAGGGAAAAUGGAUCAGGCAAGCCUAACAGUCUAGGCUUGAGUUUUCCUCGUCUUCUUUUAAUUAGACUGACUCAUUUUCCUAUGUGUUUUAAAUAUUAAGAUACUAUGUAAAAUAUCAUGAGGAAAGGAAAAUAAAGCGUUCUGCUAUUAAAAAGAACUGAAAGCCAAUGAAAAUGUCAUUUGUAGAUGCUUCUGCUUGCACUUAGAGUCUGCAGAUGGUAUACUGGGAAGAAGUAGGAACGUUCGGAAAAUACCUCGGCUCUUGACUGGGUUUGGUAUUCUUUUCUCUGCCUUCACUGUAGCUCUUCUAUCCUGGUAUUCAAGGUUCCAACCAUGGUUGCUUUAAUCUGCCUUUCUCUCCUCCUUUAACAUAUGUUUAUUUAGCAAUUAACUGGGGGGAGGGAGGGAGUGGGUAGAAAAAAGUAUUUUCCAACAUUUUAAAAUGAAAGAAAUAAUUGUUUAUGGUUUGAAAAGUCACCAAGACUAUUAUUGAGUGAUUAUUUGUGACAUGUUUACCUAGAGAAAUUAUUUGGGGAAAAGAAAGCUUUAUAUUUCUUUCUUGGUGGGAAGCAAGCAGCUGGAAUAAUUUGUUAUAAAAGACCUGGGGACGAGGUAUGAAAACAUGAAAGAACUAGCGGAUAGCUUAU
rnacentral:lncRNA from 1 species